GAAAAUUUCAAAAUGAUUUUUUGGUGUUUUUUUCAAUGGAAUGUUUUUGGUAUUUGGUCAAACAUAUAACUAUGUUAACCUCUUCAAUUUCUUAAACAUUUUAAGUGUUAAGCUGUUGUUGAUUUAGAAAUACAUGCCGCAGCUCGCAAAAUUUCAAACUGCAUUAUCUCUAAAACGACAAUAGAUAUCUCAAAUCUGUUAAAUGGUAAAUGAUCUACAGUUAAAGGACAACAUUAUAAAAAAAGAAUUGGGACAAUUUCAAAGUUCACCAAGGUCACAAUUAAUCAUCAAAUAUAUGAUGCAAUACCAAACUUGAGAACUGGAAGUCGUAGAGACAUGGGACUAUCACCAUUCAACUCAGGACCACUUGACCUUUCAAACAUCACAAGGUCAAGGUCAUAGUAUAAUGUGAAGGUCAAGGUGAAAUUUCAUCAUGACCUGACAUUGACCUCAAAUUGAAGGUCUUGAAUUACUGAUCAUCUUUGCAGUUUAUAGUAGGUUGAUAUCUGUGACCUUUAAAAAGAUAUACACAAAAUACUAUACUUUUAAGAAUCAUCCUGUUGAAACUUUUGAACAGACGGUCGGACAUUUUUGGGCUUAUUAUAUAAAAUGUAGAGCUCGUAGAGAGGAACAUUUUAUACGCUGUAUGUAUGCAGCAAAGUCUUAUCGUUUUCCUAAUAUGUAAGCUUGAAAUUGCAGCGUAAUUUUUAUUUUGCACUCUGUGACCUUUGACCUUGGGUGCAUAUUAAAGGUCACAUGAAUUAAAGAUUAUUGGUGAAGGUCCCAAGUCUCUACGACUUCUGGUUCUGGAAAUACAAUUUUUCUAAAAUUGUACACUAUUUUUCAAGGGGAAUAACUCCUUAUAAGGGUUAAUAACAAAAUGAUUGUAUAUGUUCAUUAACAUUGUCAUCUGUUCCUGUACAUGUUGCCGUUUUCAAAUCAAUUCUAUCUCUUAUACUUUUUUGAGAAAAAUGCAAAGGAAAGAAAUUGUUUCAAGGGGAUAUAACUCUCAUAGGGGACAAUGAAAUCCUAUUCAACCUCAUAUGGUAAUAAAUCAUGAUGAGAUCUACCUAUUGUCCAAAUAAUGUCAUGAUAUCUUUAAAAACAACGAGGGGGUGCCGUGUUGAAAAAAAUCAAUAAAAGGGAGAUAACUUCUAAAGAGGAUGAUGAAAUCCUUAACAGGGUCAUUUGGUAAAACUGCAUGAUGAGGUCUAUCAAUGGUCCAUAUUUGGUCUUGGUAACUCUAACAGAAAGAAGGGGCGGGCAUGUCAAAAAAAUGUUGGAAGAAAAAAAAGAAAAACUAGUAUCUCAAUUGUUUGUAAAACAAUUGAAAGGUCUUUCCUGUAAAAGUGAUGUUUUCGUAAUGUACUUUGAACGACCUUUCGUUUGAUAUACGACAAGCAUACCUUCUGAAACUUUUCGCUUUUUACACUUAAUGACCUCAUCCGCCUACAUUUUUGAGAUCGGAAUUAUGAUAUAUGUAACAUAGAGUAGAUGAGAUUUCAUUUGAUAUGCGACAACGCCAUGUUUUAGAAAGUUUGAUUUUUGCACUUAAUAACCCUAUCCAACUAAUUUUUGGAGGUCGGGAAUUUGAUAUUUCAAAUGUGCACAUCAUGACCUUUCAUUUGAUAUACAACAACCCUAUCGUAAAAGAAAAUUUAUUUUUUGCACUCAAUGACCCCAUCCAACCAAUUUUUUGGGGACGUCAAUUUGAAAUUUGAAAUGUACGCUUUAUGUUCUUUCAUUUGAUAUGCGACAACCUUGCCAUCUGAGAAAUUUGAAUUUUUGCACUAAAUGACCCCACCCUUUCCCCUGGGAUGAAAAAGAGGUUUAAAAUUUUCAUUUUUAAGUAGAGUUUAUUGAGACCUUCAAUUUGAUAUAUCAGAUGACCCCAUUUGACAAAGUGCCAAAAAUGAUGCAAUAUCAACGAUAUAAAUAGAAGUUAUGAAACUUACAAAGUCAAUGCAAAACAUGAAAAUUUCAAAAUUAUUUUUUGGUGUUUUUUUAAAUGGAAUGUUUUUGGUAUUUGGUCAAACAUAUAACUAUGUUAACCUCUUCAAUUUCUUAAACAUUUUAAGUGGUAAGCUGUUGUUGAUUCAGAAAUACAUGCCUCCGCUCGCAAAAUUGCAAACUGCAUUAUCUCUAAAACGACAAUAGAUAUCUCAAAUCUGUUAAAUGGUAAAUGAUCUACAGUUAAAGGACAACAUUAUAGAAAAAGAAUUGGGACAAUUUCAAAGUUCAACAAGGUCACAAUUAAUCAUCAAAUAUAUGAUGCAAUACCAAACUUGAGAACCGGAAGUCGUAGAGACAUGGGACUACCACCAUUCAACUCUGGACCACUUGACCUUUCAAAUAUCACAAGGUCAAGGUCAUAGUAUGCUGUGAAGGUCAAGGUGAAAUUUCAUCAUGACCUGACAUUGACCUCAAAUUGACGGUCUUGAAUUACUGAUCAUCUUUGCAGUUUAUAGUAGGUUGAUAUCUGUUACUUUUAAAAAGAUAUACACAAAAUACUAUACUUUUAAGAAUCAUCCCGUUGUAACUUUUGAACAGACAGUCGGACAUUUUUGAACUUAUCAUAUAAAAUGUAGAGCUCGUCGAGAGGAACAAUUUAUACGCUGUAUGUAUGCAGCAAAGUCUUAUCGUUUUCCUAAUAUGUAAGCUUGAAAUUGCAGCGUAAUUUUUUUUUGCACUCAGUGACCUUUGACCUUGACUGCGUAUUAAAGGUCACAUGAAUUAAAGAUUAUUGGUGAAGGUCCCAAGUCUCUACGACUUCUGGUUCUCGAAAUACAAUUUUUCUAAAAUUAUGUACAAUUUUUCAAGGGAAAUAACUCCUUAUAAGGGUUAAUAACAAAAUGAUUGUACAUGUUCAUUAACAUUGCCAUCUGUUCUUGUACAUGUUGCCGUUUUCAAAUCGAUUCUAUCUUUUAUACUUUUUGAGAAAAAUGCAAAGGAAAGAAAUUGUUUCAAGGGGAUAUAACUCUCAUAGGGGACGAUGAAAUCCUAUUCAGCCUCACAUGGUAAUACAUCAUGAUGAGAUCUACAUUAUGUCCAAUUAAGGUCAUGAUAUCUUUAAAACUAACGAGGGGGGGCCAUGUUGAAAAAAAUCAAUAAAAGGGAGAUAACUCCUAAAGGGAAUGAUGAAAUCCUUAACAGGGUCAUUUGGUAAUACAUCUUGGCGAGGUCUAGCUAUGGUCCAUAUUUGGUCUUUAUAACUUCAACAGAAACAAGAGGCGGGCAUGUCAAAAAAAUGUUGGAAGAAAAAAAAGAAAAAAAAGAAAAAGAAAAAAAAAAAAACAUUAGAAAAACAAUAAGGUCUUUCC
rnacentral:lncRNA from 1 species